UAGCUAGUUGGUGAGGUAACGGCCCACCAAGGCGACGAUCGGUAGCCGGACUGAGAGGUUGAACGGCCACAUUGGGACUGAGACACGGCCCAGACUCCUACGGGAGGCAGCAGUGGGGAAUUUUGCACAAUGGGGGAAACCCUGAUGCAGCGACGCCGCGUGGAGGAAGAAGGUCUUCGGAUUGUAAACUCCUGUUGUUGAGGAAGAUAAUGACGGUACUCAACAAGGAAGUGACGGCUAACUACGUGCCAGCAGCCGCGGUAAAACGUAGGUCACAAGCGUUAUCCGGAGUUACUGGGUGUAAAGGGAGCGCAGGCGGGCGAUCAAGUUGGAAGUGAAAUCCAUGGGCUCAACCCAUGAACUGCUUUCAAAACUGGUCGUCUUGAGUAGUGCAGAGGUAGGCGGAAUUCCCGGUGUAGCGGUGGAAUGCGUAGAUAUCGGGAGGAACACCAGUGGCGAAGGCGGCCUACUGGGCGCCAACUGACGCUGAGGCUCGAAAGUGUGGGUAGCAAACAGGAUUAGAUACCCUGGUAGUCCACACCGUAAACGAUGAUUACUAGGUGUUGGGAGAUUGACCCUCUCAGUGCCGCAGUUAACACAAUAAGUAAUCCACCUGGGGAGUACGACCGCAAGGUUGAAACUCAAAGGAAUUGACGGGGGCCCGCACAAGCAGUGGAGUAUGUGGUUUAAUUCGACGCAACGCGAAGAACCUUACCAAGUCUUGACAUCCCUUGACGAUGCUGGAAACAGUAUUUCUCUUCGGAGCAAGGAGACAGGUGGUGCAUGGUUGUCGUCAGCUCGUGUCGUGAGAUGUUGGGUUAAGUCCCGCAACGAGCGCAACCCUUAUGGUCAGUUACUACGCAAGAGGACUCUGGCCAGACUGCCGUUGACAAAACGGAGGAAGGUGGGGAUGACGUCAAAUCAUCAUGCCCUUUAUGACUUGGGCUACACACGUACUACAAUGGCGUUAAACAAAGAGAAGCAAGACCGCGAGGUGGAGCAAAACUCAGAAACAACGUCCCAGUUCGGACUGCAGGCUGCAACUCGCCUGCACGAAGUCGGAAUUGCUAGUAAUCGUGGAUCAGCAUGCCACGGUGAAUACGUUCCCGGGCCUUGUACACACCGCCCGUCACACCAUGAGAGCCGGGGGGACCCGAAGUCGGUAGUCUAACCGCAAGGAGGACGCCGCCGAAGGUAAAACUGGUGAUUGGGGUGAAGUCGAAACAAGGUAGCCGUAGGAGAACCUGCGGCUG
rnacentral:rRNA from 1 species